UACGUAGGCGGGCUAAUAAGUCAGGGGUGAAAUCCCACAGCUUAACUGUGGAACUGCCUUUGAUACUGUUAGUCUUGAGUUAUAUGGAAGUAGAUAGAAUGUGUAGUGUAGCGGUGAAAUGCAUAGAUAUUACACAGAAUACCGAUUGCGAAGGCAGUCUACUACGUAUAUACUGACGCUAAUGGACGAAAGCGUGGGGAGCGAACAGGAUUAGAUACCCUGGUAGUCC
rnacentral:rRNA from 1 species